GUGGAUUAGAUACCCUGGUAGUCCACGCCCUAAACGAUGAAUACUCGAUGUUAGCGAUAAACAGUUAGCGUCUAAGCGAAAGCGUUAAGUAUUCCACCUGGGGAGUACGCCCGCAAGGGUGAAACUCAAAGGAAUUGACGGGGGCCCGCACAAGCGGAGGAGCAUGUGGUUUAAUUCGAUGAUACGCGAGGAACCUUACCCGGGCUUGAAAGUUAGUGAAUGAUUCAGAGAUGAAUCAGUGAGCAAUCACACGAAACUAGGUGCUGCACGGCCGUCGUCAGCU
rnacentral:rRNA from 1 species